GCAACUUCGCGGGGCCUUUUAAGACGGCAUUAUUACAUAAAAGCCAGACUCUAAUGAACGAUUGGCAUAUAAUUUUUAGCCCGAACUAGGGCUUAUGUAAUCGACCUGUCCGUCUGUCUGUCUUACCAUAACUCUCGAAGGAACCAAUGAGUGGUACCCUGGACACGAUUAUCACCUCGAAAGUAUCCCUUGUUAGCUAACUUUUAAUUUCAAGUUCUUUGAUGAGAAGCCACUAAUUGUAAGUAUUACCGUGCCGGAUUUCAUGUUUUUAACGCAAUUUCUAAAAAUAGAUAUGGAUCACCUCUCUCCCAAAUUUCACUUCGAUAUGACGAUUUUGAAAAAUCAGUAUGGGUCACCCCAUAGGGUCCAUCAAGAUUAAAAU